UACGAAGGGUGCAAGCGUUACUCGGAAUUACUGGGCGUAAAGCGUGCGUAGGUGGUUUGUUAAGUCUGUUGUGAAAGCCCCGGGCUCAACCUGGGAAUGGCAAUGGAUACUGGCAAGCUAGAGUGCGGUAGAGGGUAGUGGAAUUCCCGGUGUAGCGGUGAAAUGCGUAGAGAUCGGGAGGAACGCCAGUGGCGAAGGCGGCUACCUGGACCAGCACUGACACUGAGGCACGAAAGCGUGGGGAGCAAACAGG
rnacentral:rRNA from 1 species